rnacentral:lncRNA from 1 species
CGCCAUUUGUGCCAUCCUUGAUCUUUGCUUUGCAAAUCUAGAAGACUCAGAGUGCUUACCGAACAGCAACAACUGAAAAAGAAUAAAUAAAUAAAUAAUGGUGUGGGAAAACAGCGCAAAUGCAGAUGGCAGCAAAGAUACUAAGGGAGGAGGAGUGGGGGGGAAGGAGGUAGUGAUUAAGGGAACAGAGCACUGGUGAUAGGCCUUGCUCCACUAUCUCUGUGGACCCUGGAGAUGAGUCUGAGAGGCGGAAUGCGGCCAACAUGGCAGCAACAUAACCUGCAUCAGGCUGUCGCCAACUGCAGCGCCCACCCAGGAGACCACAGUGUGCUCUCUCACGUUUGCCAACACUCAGAAGACGUUUCUAGUUCGUCUAGACGAGGCCCUGCUGUCGACUGUGGGGACCCCUGGUGAGUUGGUAAACAGGCACACCAGCUUUUGCAGGCAGGCAAUCCAGUUCUACACAGAGCCUGGGGACACUUUGGAGUCAGACCUUCUUCUGAUCCUUGUUCUCUACAGGGACGAUCAGCAUGCCUGUUUAGGCCCUGGUGUGACACCGCAUGUCCUAUAAGAUACACCAACACAGGCACCCGGCUCUUCCCCUGCAGUCCUACGGCCUCCAUAUGCACACAUCACUACAAUGAGCGUCCUUUGGUGAAGACCCCAGCAUUCCCAAUUUCAGAGAUAUUAUCUGAAAAGAUAGUUGCCAGUGGAUAACAGCAAAAGGUCAGAGAAAGAUUCACUGAUCAUGACAAUGAUAAAUUCAAUACCCAGUAGCAUUUAUGGAUUGAAAUUUGACUGUCUCAUUGAAACACGUAGACAUAUUUAAAGAUAAAUAAAUGGUUAAGUAUUCAGAUUUUCUGCAAGAACAACAGUAAAAAAAAACAGGAGUGUGUAGAUAAGUGUUAUAGAGACAGAGCUAAUUCAGUCAUAUCCAUUUACAAAAUCACUUACACAAAGAAUCCUGUGUUUUACUAAACAGUUCCGUUUUGGAUUUACAACUACAGAUUUUUUUCCCUUUACUUUAUAAAAGAAAAACUGGAUUUAGAUUAAGCAACUGAUCAAGGCAAAACCUUAUUUUGAAGUCAGUUUUGAUAAAGUUUUGAUUAUUCAGAUUUGAUUUGAUAAAGUCAAUGAGCAACACUAUCAAGUCUACAUUACUUU